AUUGAACGCUGGCGGCAUGCUUUACACAUGCAAGUCGAACGGCAGCGCGGGCUUCGGCCUGGCGGCGAGUGGCGAACGGGUGAGUAAUACAUCGGAACGUGCCCAGUAGUGGGGGAUAGCUCGGCGAAAGCCGGAUUAAUACCGCAUACGACCUGAGGGUGAAAGCGGGGGAUCUUCGGACCUCGCGCUAUUGGAGCGGCCGAUGGCAGAUUAGCUAGUUGGUGGGGUAAAGGCCUACCAAGGCGACGAUCUGUAGCUGGUCUGAGAGGACGACCAGCCACACGGGGACUGAGACACGGCCCAGACUCCUACGGGAGGCAGCAGUGGGGAAUUUUGGACAAUGGGCGAAAGCCUGAUCCAGCAAUGCCGCGUGUGUGAUGAAGGCCUUCGGGUUGUAAAGCACUUUUGGCAGGAACGAAAAGGACUGUGCCAAUACCACGGUUCGAUGACGGUACCCGCAGAAUAAGCACCGGCUAACUACGUG
rnacentral:rRNA from 1 species